AUUUAAAUAGUUUAUUUUAAAAAUACUAAUUUGUGGUGUUAGAGAUGUUUUUUUAACUUUAAAUU
rnacentral:tRNA from 1 species